GCAUUGGUGGUUCAGUGGUAGAAUUCUCACCUGCCAUGCGGGAGACCCAGGUUCGAUUCCCGGCUAAUGCA
rnacentral:tRNA from 2 species